UACGGGGGGGGCAAGCGUUGUUCGGAAUUACUGGGCGUAAAGGGCUCGUAGGCGGCCAACUAAGUCAGACGUGAAAUCCCGCGGCUUAACCGGGGAACUGCGUCUGAUACUGGAUGGCUUGAGAUUGGGAGAGGGAUGCGGAAUUCCAGGUGUAGCGGUGAAAUGCGUAGAUAUCUGGAGGAACACCGGUGGCGAAGGCGGCAUCCUGGACCAACACUGACGCUGAGGAGCGAAAGCCAGGGGAGCAAACGGG
rnacentral:rRNA from 1 species